UACGGAGGGUGCAAGCGUUAUCCGGAAUCACUGGGUUUAAAGGGUGCGUAGGCGGUCGUGCAAGUCGGAUGUGAAAUCUCAGGGCUCAACCCUGAAACUGCAUUCGAUACUGCGCGGCUAGAGUGCUGGAGGGGAGACUGGAAUUUACGGUGUAGCAGUGAAAUGCGUAGAUAUCGUAAGGAAGACCAGUGGCGAAGGCGACUUUCUGGGCUGUAACUGACGCUGAGGCGCGAAAGCGUGGGGAGCAAACAGG
rnacentral:rRNA from 1 species